GCUGUUCUACUCGUUCUUUAAAUCACUGGUGGGGAAGGACGUGGUAGUGGAGCUGAAGAAUGAUUUGAGUAUCUGUGGAACUCUGCAUUCCGUCGAUCAGAGUUACCUCAGCACAUCCAUUGAGUCCUGAUUUCAAGAGUGACCUUCAUACUGUUGAUUUGAUCGACAACACCCAUGCCUUCUGCCAGUUCUGUUGUCAAUUUAAUGCUUAAGGAUAUUAUCUUCAAGUAUUGAAAACAUUUAAUUUCUGUUUUGCUAGUUCACCAGAAUAGCCUAAUGACACCGUUUUGCUGUGGCCUAAGACUUAAGGUUUUUCAUUUUAAUAAAUGUUAGCAUGCGACUAUUUGACUGCAUGUUAAAAGACAUUCAGCUUCAUUCUUGAAUACUCUAGUUUGUUCAGGUUUUGUUCUCGUUAACUUUACUUUGAGUGAACAUCUGAUAGUAUCAGCACCAAGCGUCAUUCAAAAGAUGGCGUUUACUUUACAAAUGUGUCCUGACCUAGCAGCUGGUUUCGCUAUGAUAAUGUCGGAUGGGAAAACAUUAAAAAUAAAUCUCUGUAACUUUCACAACCACAUUUAAAACAGUCGAGAAUAAAAUAUAUUUAACUGUUAACAUGUCAAUAUAUUUCUCAAUAUAUCUCAACUUUCCGUAUGCCACUUAUUUUAAUUCUAUUAAACCAAAGAAAUCUUACUCAAACUCUAUUUUUAGUUCUGCUGUCUUCUUUGUCAUGUUUUUUUAUUUAUUUUUUAUUCAUUAUGCCAUAUUCACUGUGCCUUGCUUUGUCGAUAUCUGCUGCGCUGUCAGGACGGUCCUUUUCUGCUCUCGGAUGCCUUAAAAGUUGGCUACACAACACAAUGAACCAAAACAGACACACAUCUUGCUCUUAUGCUUGUGCACUGUGACAUCCUUGAUGUUGCAGCAGCAGACCUGUCAACGCUGUCUUAUUUGUAAGGACACCCCAGUUUUUGCUCAAAGGUGCCUCCCACCCUCCUUUUCAUUUUCAGCACCCCCAGUUUGAAAUUUGCUUCUGCA